CAGAUUCUCAACAGAUGGCGCCAGGCUCUCCUGGUUUGCGUGUGCGGAGAGACCAGUCUCGUGGGGGACGUGAUUCCACCCGGAGGAAGAAGACUGUGAAUUCCUCCAAAGCUGAGUUUUGUUUGCUUUGAUAGAUAAAUAAUUUAUGUUUGAAUAAAAGUGCCAUUUUGGCUUUAAGUAAGCUCUAGGUCGUGUGCUGAUUGGAAGGAGGCGGCUCACUCACCAAGCCGGGUUGCCACAUCUUCAAGACAAAUUUAGCCUUCAGUUAGCCUCUCUCUCUCUCUCUCUCUCUCUCUCUCUCUCUCUCUCUCUCUCUCUCUCUCUCUCUCUCUCCCCCCUCUCCUCACCUCUGGUUCUCCACCAGCCAAUGAGGCGGAGCAGAACCACCAGGGUCAGGACGGAGAAGCCCAGCAGCACCAGGACCCGCAGCAGGACCCCCGCUGUAGGAGCUGCAAGAGAUCACACCGACCUCCAUGAGCUGAUGCCCAGACAAAUAUUGCUACCAACAUGGCACUUCGAAACAGACCACCGCAGUGUUGGAUGACUGACAAGAUCUAUGGGGGGGGCCCCUUUGGGCCCCCCCAUACUAACUUAGUCUUCAAAGGAAUCUAGUGCCAUGGGACUCCAGUGUCUUCAAAACAUCCUCGGAAUACAUGUGUAUGAAUGGUCCACCGAAGGGUUGAUCUGGAAGCCAGCACGGUCCACGCAGUAAUCUGCUGCGUGGGCCGUAGUGGCUUCCAGAGCCAUCUUUCGGUCUUGGUCAGGAUUUGUUACAGUUGCCCUUCAAUGUAGCAGGCUACGGGUUUCGGAAGAAGCCUGCUUUACGUAGCAUUGGAGUACAAAUAUUGUGCAAAAUGCUCAUGUAAUUGCACUAGCACUAGUAACCUGUAAAUUAGUUUAGUUUAACGUCAUUCCGUGCUGUCUCUGUCAAAUGUGUGGCUUACUUUAAGUCCACAAGGCCCUCUGGUAAACCACGUUGGAACACCCCUGGACAAGGUGAUUAGUCACUGGGUGUGUGCUAAAGUUUUGUUCCAUUUUUCACUAGUUGGUUAAGGUUUGGUAGAAUUGUUUGGAUGCUAGCGACGUGAUGGUGUAUGUACAAGAGCCUACCGUGGCCAGGCCACAGUUGCGACAGCCACGGCCAGAUGACCUAGUGUGAGUGCAACCUUGAUUGCAUUUGUAUACUGUUUACCAUUGGAUGUUUAUGCAAUUUGGCUUAAUUCAUCCGCAGUAAAGCUGCAUUUGACUAUUCCAGGGUCGUUUUGUACAGGCUUUCAAUUGACCAUGUUGACUAGUUUGUGGGAAGUUUUUUUUUUUUUUACCCUUGCUUACAAUCCAACGGUUGUGACCACUUAUGCAACUGGGCUGUGAACCUUGCAAUUCUAGUUGCAUAUUUGUACACGCAAGCUUGUCCAUUUCUAUCGCCAUCACUAACACUAGCUUCAGCAUUUCCUUGUAGGCCAUUAGCUGACUUGUGUAUUGGAGCGAUGAUUUGGGUAUUUUAAGAUGCUUGAAAACCUAAAAUAAAGCAAAAUGCGUGUCUGGUGUGCAAGAGCCAAUUUGUUGGCUUGCAGUAGUCGUAGUAGAACACUGAUGUCUCUCUAGGCUUGAGGGAAUGUCCUGGAGCAUUUGGGAAUACACUUUUAUUUAGUCUACCUGACCAGGGACAUCUUUGAACUAUAGGUCACCUAACCCAAACUUUUCACUCUUGCUAGGUUGUCCUUUUCUCUUGUUUUAACCCGAAAGGGCUGAAAUAUCAACAUUUCAGGUAUUCUGUUUGGAUAAUGUGCAAAA
ensembl:lncRNA